UUUUUCAAAACUUUGUUUAUU
rnacentral:piRNA from 1 species